GGGGAUUUAGCUCAGUGGUAGAGCACUUGCCUAGCAAGUGCAAGGACCUGGGUUCAAUCCCCAGCUCCA
rnacentral:tRNA from 1 species